rnacentral:ribozyme from 14 species
AAUAAACAAAGAGGGAAAGGAGGAAAGGAAGAAAGAAGAAAAGAGGGAGAGAGAUCAGCAACAAAGGCCAUUCCUCUUCUUUUUGCUCCGACAUUGUAUUUC